ACCAAUUUUGGGGGAAAAAAAUAAUCCUCUUGGUAUAAUGGCUUGGGCGCUAGAUCCAAAUUGUGGCUAUCCUGAUCUUUGGCUUCAUUUUUCAUGCCAUUUUUUUUUUUUUUAUUUGAUAAAGCAUUUUUCAUACCAUUUGAUCGUGGAAACACCUCAUACAUUU